CUCUCAGAGUCCCCGUUUAUUACACAAGGAUUUCAAAACAGCCAAUGUUCUUGUAGAUGAAAAUUUUAUUGCCAAGGUUGCAGAUGCAGGACUUCGUAAUUUCCUGGGACAUGUUGAUGUUGCAGGUCCAUCUUCACAAGUGACAGCAGAUGACAUGAGAUAUUUCUUGCACCAGAGGUGAAAGAGUUCAGACGAUUUUCUGAUAAAAGUGAUGUAUUCAGUUUUGGCGUAUUCCUUCUGGAGUUACUACACGGACAGGAA
rnacentral:misc_RNA from 1 species